UGCCUGGCUUAACGCUGCAAGGGACAUAAUUUCCAGUGGUAUAAUGGACCGCUUGAGUCUCUCUUGUCAACUGGGAGUUUGAGUAUGCAGCGCAUUUGGAAAUGCAGCCCAUCCUAACCCAGCAACUGGCAAGGGAGAAAUCCAAAUCUAUCAGUCGCUAUUUCAGCCUGCGACUUCUGCUCGCCUUUGUCCCAUCCGAGCGUGAGUCUAUGAGAUCAUUCAAGUAUGGAGACUUGGCAGCCUCCAUGUGCGUACAAAGACGGCUGUUUGAAUUUCAGACUAAGUGUCGUUCUGGCUAAGGAUAAAUUAUUUGCUGUGUUACAUGAGGAUUUGCUGCUUUAUCUGGCCUGAAUAAGGUGAACCCUGAGGCUGUGAGGGCAAGGGAGGAGAGCAGAGAGCCCGGGAGAAUGGGUGAAGCUGGCAAAGGCUGGACUGAAAAUGUCUGCAAAGUUAGCAGAGGACUUGGCCUGCAAAGGGAGACCUCGGUAUCAUGGAGGGCCCUUGCCUGAAUGUGAAGCCUACAGCCAUAUUUUAAAACAAAACACUAACACAUUCAGCGUGCCUUACUUUUGCUCCAAAUCACUGCAGCUGUGGUAAUUAGAGAACUCUUCCAGCCCUCCAAAUGAGGCAAACUGGCUCCAUCAGUACAGACCUCCCUCAUGAAAGCCACAGUGAUGUCACGCCCAGCAGCACAGGAGGGGAUCAGAGCGUGCUCCUACCAAGUUAGCACAGCCCCAAGAGAGUUCCCUUUUUGCUGCAGAGCUAAAGCUUUGGUCGUGGACUCAUUUGGAAGCUUUGUGCUUUACUCGUCUUCGUGUUUAUGGAGUAUCAGUGGAUUAACAACAAAAAAAGACAAAAGCAGUAACAUCUGACCUCCAGAGCUGGCGAUGUCUUUUUCCCUUCCUCUUUGUCCUCAUCUUUUCACGGUAAAGAAACGGAGUAGAACAUUUGGUGUUUGCUUCCAGGUGAUCUGUUCUUUUUCACCCUUCUCCUCCUCUCCUUGGGGAUGGAGGCCUCCACCAUCCUUUGAGAUGUCAGGAAUUCUAGGCGAAGAUUUAUGCAGCAGCAUAAAGAGGCAUUAGACCGUGUAGUGAGGGUCAGACAUAUGGUAGCAAUGAUUGCACAGCCCCGUAAAGCAGACUCCCUGCAAAGCCCUGGAUGCGUUGUGAGAAGUCUUUCCUUGGAAGCAACGUGCUUAAAGAUGACCUCAUGUCAGAUCUGGGCAGGUAUGUGCUGCACACAACAAGGAUGGGAACAAACAAUGCUGUUUUCCUUUCCCAAAGUAAGUUAAAUUCACUUCUGUGUGGAAAUGAGAUUGAAGCCCGUGUUUUCUUUCUCUCUUGACUCCACUCAGUUAGCUGUUGAGAAUAGCAGCUCCUCAGGUCUCUGGUA